rnacentral:rRNA from 1 species
AAGGCCCUGCUUUUGUGGGGUGCUCGAGUGGCGAACGGGUGAGUAACACGUGAGUAACCUGCCCUUGACUUUGGGAUAACUUCAGGAAACUGGGGCUAAUACCGGAUAGGAGCUCCUGCUGCAUGGUGGGGGUUGGAAAGUUUCGGCGGUUGGGGAUGGACUCGCGGCUUAUCAGCUUGUUGGUGGGGUAGUGGCUUACCAAGGCUUUGACGGGUAGCCGGCCUGAGAGGGUGACCGGCCACAUUGGGACUGAGAUACGGCCCAGACUCCUACGGGAGGCAGCAGUGGGGAAUAUUGCACAAUGGGCGGAAGCCUGAUGCAGCAACGCCGCGUGCGGGAUGACGGCCUUCGGGUUGUAAACCGCUUUCGCCUGUGACGAAGCGUGAGUGACGGUAAUGGGUAAAGAAGCACCGGCUAA